CCUACGGGUGGCAGCAGUGAGGAAUAUUGGUCAAUGGGCGCGAGCCUGAACCAGCCAAGUAGCGUGAAGGAUGACUGCCCUACGGGUUGUAAACUUCUUUUAUAAAGGAAUAACGUGAGGCACGUGUGCCUUUUUGUAUGUACUUUAUGAAUAAGGAUCGGCUAACUCCGUGCCAGCAGCCGCGGUAAUACGGAGGAUCCGAGCGUUAUCCGGAUUUAUUGGGUUUAAAGGGAGCGUAGAUGGGUUGUUAAGUCAGUUGUAAAAGUUUGCGGCUCAACCGUAAAAUUGGAAUUGAUACUGGCGGCCUUGGGGACAGUUGAGGUAGGCGGAAUUGGUGGUGUAGCGGUGAAAUGCU
rnacentral:rRNA from 1 species